UCUCUCUCUCAAAGGAGAGAAGGUUAGCACUCCCCCUGACAAGGAUGGAAGAGGCCCUUGUGGUUUUCAACUCUCCCUCUCUCUCACGCUAUCGUUCUCU